rnacentral:tRNA from 1 species
GCCAGGGUAGUUUACAUAUAGAACGGUGCCUUGAAGAGGCGAGAGUGAAGGUUUCUUCCUUUGGCA